GCUGGGAUAGCUCAGUUGAUUAGAGCAUGGUGCUGAUAGUGGCAAGGUUGCAGGUUCAAUCCCCCUAUGGGGCAGCU